rnacentral:rRNA from 1 species
CGUGAUGUGUAUCGAAAUACAAGUAGAGAAGUCCGUGAGCCGGCUGUCAAGAAAAGCCGCUAUUGUUUCAUAAGUACCCGUACCGUAAACCGACACAGGUGGAUGAGGAGAGAAUCCUAAGGCCGGCGGGAGAAGCAUUGUCAAGGAACUCGGCAAAAUGACCCCGUAACUUCGGGAGAAGGGGUGCCACCGCGAGGUGGCCGCAGAGAAUAGGCUCAAGCAACUGUUUAGCAAAAACACAGGUCUAUGCAAAACCGAAAGGUGAAGUAUAUGGGCUGACGCCUGCCCGGUGCUGGAAGGUUAAGAGGAGAGGUUAGCGUAAGCGAAGCUUUGAAUUUAAGCCCCAGUAAACGGCGGCCGUAACUAUAACGGUCCUAAGGUAGCGAAAUUCCUUGUCGGGUAAGUUCCGACCCGCACGAAAGGCGUAAUGAUUUGAGCGCUGUCUCGACAAUGCACCCGGUGAAAUUGAAGUACCAGUGAAGAUGCUGGUUACCUGCGCCAGGACGGAAAGACCCCAUGGAGCUUUACUCCAGUUUGAUACUGGGAUCCGGUGCUGUAUGUACAGGAUAGGCGGGAGACUAUGAGACAUGGACGCCAGUCUAUGUGGAGUCGUUGUUGGGAUACCGCCCUUACAGUACUGGGUUUCUAACCUGCGGCCGUAAUCCGGCCGGGGGACAAUGUCUGACGGGGAGUUUGACUGGGGCGGUCGCCUCCGAAAGGGUAUCGGAGGCGCUCAAAGGUUCCCUCAGAAUGGUCGGAAACCAUUCGAAGAGUGCAAAGGUAUAAGGGAGCUUGACUGCGACACCGACGGGUGGAGCAGGUACGAAAGUAGGACUUAGUGAUCCGGUGGUAUAAAGUGGGAUUGCCAUCGCUCAACGGAUAAAAGCUACCCUGGGGAUAACAGGCUUAUCACUCCCAAGAGUUCACAUCGACGGAGUGGUUUGGCACCUCGAUGUCGGCUCAUCGCAUCCUGGGGCUGUAGCAGGUCCCAAGGGUUGGGCUGUUCGCCCAUUAAAGCGGUACGCGAGCUGGGUUCAGAACGUCGUGAGACAGUUCGGUCCCUAUCCGGCGCAGGCGAAGGAUAUUUGAGAGGAGCUGCCCUUAGUACGAGAGGACCGGGGUGGACGGACCGCUGGUGUAUCUGUUGGAGACCAACUCCAUGGCAGAGUAGCCAAGUCCGGCAGGGAUAAACGCUGAAGGCAUCUAAGCGUGAAGCCCCCCUCAAGAUGAGAUAUCCCAUUUCUUUAAGAAAGUAAGACCCCUUGAAGACUACAAGGUAGAUAGGAGUGAGGUGUAAGCAUGGUAACAUGUUCAGCUGACGCUUACUAAUCGGUCGAGGGCUUUUCCA